rnacentral:rRNA from 1 species
GACGAACGCUGGCGGCGUGCUUAACACAUGCAAGUCGAACGGAAAGGCCCUGCUUUUGUGGGGUGCUCGAGUGGCGAACGGGUGAGUAACACGUGAGUAACCUGCCCUUGACUUUGGGAUAACUUCAGGAAACUGGGGCUAAUACCGGAUAGGAGCUCCUGCUGCACGGUGGGGGUUGGAAAGUUUCGGCGGUUGGGGCUGGACUCGCGGCUUAUCAGCUUGUUAGUGGGGUAGUGGCUUACCAAGGCUUUGACGGGUAGCCGGCCUGAGAGGGUGACCGGCGACAUUGGGACUGAGAGAGGGCGCAGACUGCUACGGGAGGCAGCAGUGGGGAGUAUUGCGCAAUGGGCGGGAGCCUGAUGCAGCGGCGCCGCGUGCGGGAUGACGGCCUUCGGGUUGUAAACAGAUUUCGCAUGUGACGUAGCGUGAGUGACGGUAAUGGGUAAAGAAGCACCGGCUAACUACGUG